AUACGGAGGGUGCAAGCGUUACUCGGAAUCACAGGGCGUAAAGCGCGCGCAGGCGGGCUGAUAAGUUGGAUGUGAAAGCCUACGGCUCAACCGUAGAACUGCAUCCAAAACUGUCAGUCUAGAGUCUGGGAGGGGAAGAUGGAAUUAGUUGUGUAGGGGUAAAAUCCGUAGAGAUAACUAGGAAUACCAAAAGCGAAGGCGAUCUUCUGGAACAGUACUGACGCUGAGGCGCGAAAGCGUGGGGAGCAAACAGGAUUAGAAACCCCAGUAGUCC
rnacentral:rRNA from 1 species